rnacentral:SRP_RNA from 1 species
GAGCAAUGACGACGGAAAGUCUUCCCCAUCGUCGUCUUCGAUAUGCCCUUCUCCCCUGGACGGUGGUGAAGGUUGGUCGGGAUCAAGUAGCGGACGAGGCCUUGGGGGGAGAGGCAGCAGCGCUAGC